GAGGGUAUAGCUCAGUGGUAGAGCGCAUGCUUAGCAUGCAUGAGGUUCUGGGUUCAAGCCACAGUACCCCCA
rnacentral:tRNA from 1 species